AACAACCGGGAUUGCUUAGUAACGGCGAGUGAAGCGGCAAAAGCUCAAAUUUGAAAUCUGGUACCUUCGGUGCCCGAGUUGUAAUUUGGAGAGGGCAACUUUGGGGCCGUUCCUUGUCUAUGUUCCUUGGAACAGGACGUCAUAGAGGGUGAGAAUCCCGUGUGGCGAGGAGUGCGGUUCUUUGUAAAGUGCCUUCGAAGAGUCGAGUUGUUUGGGAAUGCAGCUCUAAGUGGGUGGUAAAUUCCAUCUAAAGCUAAAUAUUGGCGAGAGACCGAUAGCGAACAAGUACAGUGAUGGAAAGAUGAAAAGAACUUUGAAAAGAGAGUGAAAAAGUACGUGAAAUUGUUGAAAGGGAAGGGCAUUUGAUCAGACAUGGUGUUUUGUGCCCUCUGCUCCUUGUGGGUAGGGGAAUCUCGCAUUUCACUGGGCCAGCAUCAGUUUUGGUGGCAGGAUAAAUCCAUAGGAAUGUAGCUUGCCUCGGUAAGUAUUAUAGCCUGUGGGAAUACUGCCAGCUGGGACUGAGGACUGCGACGUAAGUCAAGGAUGCUGGCAUAAUGGUAUAUCCCU
rnacentral:rRNA from 1 species